GAGUCUAGGGAAGCACAAGGAGGCAAAAGGACAUGGCCAGAGAGAUGCAAGAGUUCAGAGUCCCAAGAGCGAGCCAAGAGAAGCAAGUGUUUCAGGACAGAAGGGAUUCAUCAGCCCCCGAAGUCAGUGACUGCGACUCGUUGACCAAGACAAGAGCUGGGACUUCAGAGUGGGCCUUGGCAGUGCAGAUGUCGCUGGAAGCUUCACUGUAAGGGUUUCCUUGGUAGUGGGGUGUGAGCUUGCCUGGAGUAGACCUGAGGAAGACUAGGAGGAGGGAGAAAAUGUGAAUAGAGUGUUUUUGUUCAGAAGAAGAAUAAGUGGGGAGGGAGUGACAUGGAAAUAAGGUACAGUAUGUUUUGAUGAGGCGUGGCGUGUGUGUGCUCACUAACAGGAAUGACUAAUGAGGAAAAUAAAACACAAAAGGAACAGAGGUUUUGGUGGGUUUUUUGUUUUGGUUUUGGUCUUUGGGGGAUUUUUUUGUUUUGUUUUGUUUUUUUGUCUUUGCCUUUGUCUUGUUUUGUUCUGCUUUGUUUUCAAGCUGGACAAAGUUGGUGUGUUGAUAGCAGUCAGGAUCUGGGCCAGGUGUUUCCAGGUUCUUGGCCUGAAAUCAAAGUCCACACAGAUUACAAAAUAGUGAGGAGACUUCAUUCAAGAGAAGCAACAGAACAGAAUAUACUGCAAGAGGACGGUGGGCCGCAUGUAUGGAGAUACUCAAGGCUCCAAGUACUGUUUGGGGCUUCUUUUUGUAGGAUACACAAGAGGAGGGAGCUUUGGUGCUAGGCGUGUAAUCAAGUGAUUCCCUAUUUUGACUGUCAGCUUGGAUCACAUUAACAGUUGUUCACUGUGAGCCAUUCUUCCCUUAAUCCAUCUGACGUUAAUAUGUACACCCUAUUAUUGGUAGGUAUUAGAUAGCUAAUAAAAGAUUUCCUUUAAAAAUUUACUGAAAGACACAGUUUUGCCUUGUACUCCAAUACAGUCUGUGCCAGAUCUGCUCUCAUACCCUCCAUAUUCAGAGGUAUGUUUGUAUACAUAGUACUUACAGGAAGUAGUGCCUGAUACAUUAUUAGAAGAUGGGUGUGCAUAGCCCAAGCCAAAUGGAUCACUGGUUGCUAGUCUGUUCCCUAGUCGCACAUCUCACAUAUGCAAGCAAGAAGGAAAAGAAUCUGCUAGACAAAUGGAAAGACUGUCAUGAGUGUGUACAACGUUGUCACCUGUAGGAAUGGUCAAAAAGAGCUGCGGACACAGCAGGAGAAGCAGGGAUAUGAACAACUGUGAUAGUUUGGUUGGCAUUGCAGAAGUUCUUUGCUGCUCGGUAUUUCUCAGGUGAUGGUAAUGUGUCAAGAGGAUGGGGAAGUCAUGAACAGAGGUGGCUGUAGACAUGCUGCUGGGUCCCAGGUGAAUGGGAGCACGUUGGUGGCGAGGGAGAAGAAUUUCAUUCAUGGUCAGUGGGCACCACGGUCCAGCAAGGAUAGAGGACUUUUGGUGAAGAAUCUUGGAUAAAACGGCAACAGGUUGAUUCAGAACCCAUGGUCUUUAAAAUGCCAUCAAGAUAUUAAGCAAUGGGGGAAAGAGCUGCAGCACCAUCUACGGAAAAAAAAGAAAGAAGGUGAUUACUGUAGCCUUGGUGACAACGAAAAUGAUAACAGUGCACCCAGAGUCAUUUGGGCAUGAGUAAGAGGACUCAUAAGGACAGCACAGAUGCAAAAGAAGAGAUGACACAGGCAUUGUGACAUUGUGACACUGGGUAAAUCAAAGGGGAAAGGAGUCAGGUGGACACUGAAGAUCCGAUGCUUAGGCCAAGAUAGCUAAAGCAAUGACAGAGCUCUCUUAAUGAAAAGAUAGAGUUAUGUAGAUGGGUAGGCAAACAAGCCAAGCAGGAGAACAGCUUACAAGACUGAGGCCCUGGCCAUCGAGACUUAGAGGACAGAAUGAUGUCUAUGCAGAAAUGUUCACUGGGUGGUGCCCACGAGAGACAGAGGUGGUGGAAGAACAAGAAAUUAGAUGUGAGGAGUCAGGAGAGCCACGGGAACUCCAGGUGUGGGACUUCAUGGUGAACUGAAAGAAUUACAGGGGAGCUCGCUCAGCAGCCAGUGGAAAAGAGACUAAAACAGACAUUAAGCCUUUGGAUUCUGAGGGGUAAAUAAAACGUGAGGAAAAAAAUAUAGGUAGCAUGUGUUGGAACUCCAGCAAUGAAGGCAGAGGAAGCCUUGUCCAGGUGCAAAGGACAGAAAAAGUAAAGGCCAUUUUGUGGAUUUUUCUGUCA
rnacentral:lncRNA from 1 species